AUUGAACGCUGGCGGCAGGCUUAACACAUGCAAGUCGAGCGGAGAUGAGGUGCUUGCACCUUAUCUUAGCGGCGGACGGGUGAGUAAUGCUUAGGAAUCUGCCUAUUAGUGGGGGACAACAUUCCGAAAGGAAUGCUAAUACCGCAUACGUCCUACGGGAGAAAGCAGGGGAUCUUCGGACCUUGCGCUAAUAGAUGAGCCUAAGUCGGAUUAGCUAGUUGGUGGGGUAAAGGCCUACCAAGGCGACGAUCUGUAGCGGGUCGGAGAGGAUGAUCCGCCACACGGGGACUGAGACACGGCCCAGCGUCCUACGGGAGGCAGCAGUGGGGAAUAUUGGACAAUGGGGGGAACCCUGAUCCAGCCAUGCCGCGUGUGUGAAGAAGGCCUUAUGGUUGUAAAGCACUUUAAGCGAGGAGGAGGCUACUGAGACUAAUACUCUUGGAUAGUGGACGUUACUCGCAGAAUAAGCACCGGCUAACUCUGUGCCAGCCGCCGCCGUAA
rnacentral:rRNA from 1 species